UUUUAGUAGCCCUCCACCCCUGCCAAAAUAAGAACAGGAGGAGAAAAAAUUAAAAAAAAAAAACCCAAAACCAGAGGAGAGAGAGAACCUGAUAAAAUUUGCAAAUUCAAUCUCGAUUUUCCGAUCGAAUUUGAAGAAGACUGAAGAAGAUCCGAAGGCUGCCAAAAAUCCAGAUUGAAGAAGAGAAAACGAGAUUGAAGAUUCGCGAUCGAAUUUGCGACCGGAUUCAAAAAGCGAUAAAAAUUCAGCGAAUUCAAUCUUGAAUUUCCCUAAUGCGAUUGAUCUUCACUCCAAUUCGCAGAAGAUCAUCGUGUAGCCGUGUAGGUAUCAGGUCUUGAUUGUGAUUCCUGUCACAAUGGAGGCAGGCUCGUAGCAAUGGAUUUAAACAGCUGCAACUUUGUCCCAUCUCGAAGGCACCCAGUUGCUACUUAUAAGCAGUGUUGUCACCAUUCAUGUUCAGGGAAAAGAUCUAAAAUCUGGAGCAACCUCACAUGGAAGUCUGCAUUUGGUAGAUCUUGCUGGUAGUGAAAGAGUUGACAGGUCUGAAGCAACUGGAGAUAGGUUGAGGGAAGCAUAGCAUAUCAAUAAAUCACUAUCAGGUUUAGGGGAUGUUAUCUUUUCACUUUCUCAGAAAAACCCCCCAUGUACCUUACAGAAAUAGCAAGCUUACGCAGGUUCUUCAAGCGUCUCUAGGUGGUCGAGCAAAGACACUUAUGUUUGUUUUAACCUGAUGUUAGUUCGUACUCUGAAUCAUUAAGCACUUUAAAGUUUGCUGAAAGGGUGUCCGGUGUUGAGCUGGGUGCUGCUCGGAGUAGCAAAGAGGGCAGAGAUGUCAGAGAAUUAAUGGAUCAGGUGGUUGUUUGUGACCUUAUACAUGCAUGUUGCUUACUUUAAUGCAUGGCUUACUCUGAAUGACUUAAAUGAAGUACUAUAACUGGCUUGUUUUACCGGAGAAUAUUCGUUUGGGUAUAAAAUCUUUAUCUUUUUUUACUAAAAAUAUUAAAAUAAUAGGAUUUUGAAUUGAUAAAUGCAAUUUAAAAAUGGUAUUAAACAAAACUUCGUAACAAUCAGGCUUUUCAUACAUUUAAAUUUAAUUACUCUGUAAUUGUUUUGAUAUUUUUA